rnacentral:tRNA from 1 species
GCGGAUGUGGCGGAAUUGGUAGACGCGCACGGUUCAGGGCCGUGUGCCCGAAAGGGCGUGGAGGUUCAAGUCCUCUCAUCCGCA